rnacentral:rRNA from 1 species
GACGAACCGUCCUAACGUUGUUCGGAAUCACUGGGCUUAAAGGGCGCGUAGGCGGGUUCCCAAGUCGGUGGUGGAAUCUUUCGGCCCAACCGGAAAACAGCCGCCGAUACUGGGAGUCUUGAGGGAGGUAGGGGUCGAUGGAACUUCCGGUGGAGCGGUGAAAUGCGUAGAUAUCGGGAGGAACACCAGUGGCGAAGGCGGCGACCUGGACGGACAUUGACGCUGAGACGCGAAAGCGUGGGGAGCAAACAGG